ensembl:lncRNA novel transcript
AUCUGCACUGACAGCCACCCCCCUUACACACACACACUCUCUCUUUCUCAUUCUCCUUUCCCUCCUCUCCAUCUCCCUAUUGCAUUGUGUCUGACUGAUUUUCAGAGCACCUUCGCUGUUUCCCCCUUCUCGUUCCCUUCUCAUAAAAUAUCUAGACAGGAAGGAGGUGGCUGCAGAGGCUGAACAAUCUCAUAUUCUGCCUGCAAUGUCAUCGUUUCUUUCCCCCAUUUUAGGGGGCUGAAGUUGCCCAGCAAGGGAUGCAGAGGAGCUGGAAAAGAAGGGGGGAGCUCUCCAGAGGCAGCUGCGGUCAGGGGCAGGGACUGCCGCCAGAUGUGCCUGCCUUUCUGGGCUUUGAUGAGAAAGGGGCAGCAGGAGGAAAUAUUGGGAGACAAAAGCCCCGGUUUAAAUGAUCAUUUUCUUUAUUUAACAUGGCAGCAGACACUCUCUGCGUAGGAUCAUCAUGCCGAGCAUAAACUGGACUUUCCCACUUGCCUGGCAGGAGUCACACAGAUCCCUGCGUGCUAAAUGAACAUCUGAGACCCUUGAAUCCUGACUAUUGGAGAAACAGCACCAUAUUUUGGAUACUGAUUCAGACCAUAUACAGCCUUCUGGAGAAUCUUGCCCCAGUCCUGAAAGGUAUUUCUAUUCAUCUAGUUGGUGCUAUAACUGAGUCUUCAAAAGACAAUUCCACUGUUCUAUCAAGAAAGCUGCUUCAGGAUGGUGGGAAAUAUGGUUUUGGUAUCAGGAUGAUGCUGGCAUCAUAAAAUGAGUAUUUUUCUUCAGACUUCAGACUGCUGUGCUGGAAGCAAGAAUUUCAAGCAUUGGAUCUUAGCUUGCUGGGCUCCAUAGGGGUGGGAUCCACUGAGCUAGACCACUUGGCUCCCUGGCUUCAGCCCCCUUCCAGAUGUCCUUGGCGUGUACACCCUGUGGAAUCUGGUUCAUCUUCAAUCUGUCAGAAGGCAUCAGAGGUGGUUUUGACUCCUUAUGUCUUGGACCUGUGCACAAAAAGUGUAAAAUGGAUGGAACAUCAGACAGCUCAUUAUAGAGACAAGUAAGCUCCAGUUCCAAAGUUGGUUGACAGAACAAGUCAUGACCUUGUGUGGAGGAAAAUGAGAUCCCGAGUGAAGUCUACAAUGUCAUUGACUCUGAAGAAGGACUCAGAGACCCAUUGGUGUUUAAUGACCCUUACUGGCCUAUGCAAUGGAAACUGGUAUGAUCUUCAGAAAUAGAUGGUUCUUUGGCAGUGUUAAGAAAUAUUAUUUUUGUCAUGUUCUAAUGCAGUAGAUAGGCACUUUUAUGCACUGCCUGCUUUUAUCUAUUGGUUUUGCAGAGAGAGACUUAGCAAACUUUUGAUGAAAUAUUACUGCCAUCUUAUUAAUGAACACUAAUCCUUUUAAUUUGAUUACAUCCUUAGGGUUUGAUUUAAUCUAUAAAAGACACCAGUAAAAACCCCAAGAUAUUUAAAUUUGGUGUGUGUAAACAGACUCAUUACAUAGAAAUGUUGUUGCCAUUCAGGCUUGAAGUUUUUGUUCUUGCAUAACUUAGAAUAUAUUCUAUAUUACA